AUGCAAAUCCACCUCAAAUUCUGUACAAGAUCUACCAAUUAUAUGGAAGCUGAAAAUAAAUUCGUAAUUACAGUGUCCCAGAAUGUAUUUCCUCAAGCUCAUGUAGAAGCACCUGUUGCGGGUUCAAUAAUUCUGGCAGGCGUUUUAUUAAAACUAGGAGGUUAUGGAUUGAUUCGAGUAUUAUUUUUAUUUGGGGAAGCUAACAAGAGUAUAUCUUGAUUGUGAAUUAGAAUUAGUUUAGUAGGAGGGGUAGUAGUAAGUCUGAUAUGUUUACGUCAAGUAGAUAUAAAGGCUUUAAUUGCUUAUUCUUCUGUAGCCCAUAUAGGCCUUGUUUUAUCAGGUCUUGUAGUAUUUGGUUGAUGAGGUUUAAAUGGGGCAGUAGUAGUUAUAAUUGGUCAUGGUUUAUGUUCUUCUGGUUUAUUCUGUUUGGCUAAUAUGGUUUAUGAGCGAGUAGGGAGUCGAAGAUUAUUAAUUAGUAAAGGAUUAAUAAAUUUUAUACCUAGAAUAGCAUUGUGAUGAUUCCUUUUGAGAGCAGGUAACAUGGCUGCUCCUCCUACUCUAAAUCUCUUAGGUGAAAUUAGAUUAAUUAUUAGAGUAGUAUCAUGAAGAAAGGUAAGAAUAUUAUUCAUUGCUUUAUUAUCUUUUUUUAGAUUUAGUUAUACUUUAUAUAUAUUUUCUUUAAGACAACAUGGUAAAUACUACAGAGCUUUAUUUUCAUGUUGCUCCGGUAAGGUUCGAGAAUAUUUGAUCCUAAUACUACAUUGGUUACCUUUAAAUGCUUUAAUUUUAAAAAGAAGAGUGCUUAUGUGUUUAUUAUAAAUUUAAAUAGUUUAAGUAAAACGUUGGUUUGUGGUACCAAAGAUAUGAAUUUAUUUCAUUUUAAAUCGUGGUAUGAAUAGUUUCUUUAUAUUUGUCAAGAAUAUUAUUUCUUUUUAGAGGUUGCUCGGUUUGUUUAGUACUUUCUCUAAUGUGUUUAGAAAGAGGACAAGCUUGAUUUAUUGAAUGAGAAUUAUUAACUUUAAAUUCUAGCUCUGUUGUUAUAACUUUAAUUUUAGAUUGAAUAUCUUUUAUAUUUUUAAGUUUUGUAAUAUUUAUUUCUUCUAUAGUAUUAUAUUUUAGAGGAGAAUAUAUGUCUGGUGAUAAUAAUAUAAAUCGAUUUAUAUACCUAGUAUUAGCUUUUGUUAUAUCUAUAGGUUUCUUAAUUAUUAGUCCUAAUUUAAUUAGAAUUCUUCUAGGGUGAGAUGGUCUAGGACUAGUUUCAUAUGUCUUGGUUAUUUAUUAUCAAAAUGAAAAAUCAGCUAAUGCUGGUAUAUUAACUGCUCUUUCUAAUCGAGUAGGAGAUGUAGCCAUUUUAUUAUCCAUUUCUUUAUUUUUUAGUUACGGUGGGUGAAAUUUCUUAUUUUAUGUAGAGAAUAUAUCCAUGUUAAAUAUUGAUAAUCUUUUAUGUAGAUUAGUAAUUCUAGCUGCUAUAACAAAGAGAGCACAAAUUCCUUUUUCAGCUUGAUUACCUGCAGCUAUAGCAGCUCCUACUCCUGUUUCUGCCUUAGUUCAUUCAUCUACUUUAGUUACAGCCGGAGUAUAUCUAUUAAUUCGUUUUAGCCCCGCUUUAGAAGGGCGUUUAUGUCAAAGAAUAUUAUUAUUAUUGUCAGGUUUAACUAUAUUUAUAGCUGGUCUAGGAGCUAACUUUGAGUAUGAUUUAAAAAAAAUUAUUGCUUUAUCUACCUUAAGUCAAUUGGGUUUUAUAAUAAGAAUUUUAUCGUUAGGUUAUGCAGAUCUUGCCUUCUUUCAUUUAUUAGCACAUGCUUUAUUCAAAGCUCUUUUAUUUAUAUGUGCAGGUUCAGUAAUUCAUAGUGUUAAAGAAUAUCAAGAUAUUCGGAUAAUAGGAGGGUUAGUUUAUCAUAUACCUUUGACUAGUAUAUACAUAAACUUAUCUAAUUUAGCUUUAUGUGGUAUUCCUUUUUUGGCCGGUUUUUAUUCUAAAGAUAUAAUUUUAGAAGUAGCUUUUAUAUCUACUAUUAAUAUAUUCUCUUUCCUUUUAUAUGCUUUAGCUACGGGUUUAACAGUCUGCUAUACAAUACGUUUAGUUUAUUAUACUUUGUCAGGUGAUUUCAACCUAGGAAAUUUAUAUUCUAUUAGUGAUGAAGGUAAAAUUAUAACUAAUCCUAUGUUUGGUUUAGGAGUAGGAGCUAUUUUUGGUGGAGCAAGAUUGGCUUGAUUAAUUUUUCCUUUCCCUUAUAUGAUUUGUAUAAGACCUUUUUUUAAAAUAUUAGCAUUAAUUGUAAUAUCAAUUGGAGGUAUGUUAGGAUAUAUAUUAAAUUUAAAUACUGUUAAUUACCAACUCAAUUCUUUAAACGCUUAUAGUUUUGUUGUAUUCUCUGGAUCUAUAUGAUUUAUACCUUUUUUAUCUACUUAUAUAGUUAGAAAAAAAUUUUUAGAGGGUGGAAGAAAAUAUCAAAAAGUUGGUGAUAUAGGAUGAUCUGAAUAUUAUGGGGGUCAAGGUAUUUACACUUCUAUUAUAUUAUCUUCCAAAAGUUUACAGUUUUUACAGGAUAAUAACAUAAAAAUCUAUAUAUUAAGCUUUUUACUUUGGGUUAUUGUUCUGAUAUUUAUGGUAAUUUA